UACGUAGGGUGCAAGCGUUAUCCGGAAUUAUUGGGCGUAAAGCGUGCGCAGGCGGCACUUCAAGUCUGUCGUCAAAGACUGGGGCUUAACCCUGGAAAGGCGGUGGAAACUGAAGCGCUAGAGUGCGGUAGGGGUAGAGGGAAUUCCCGGUGUAGCGGUGAAAUGCGUAGAGAUCGGGAAGAACAUCGGUGGCGAAAGCGAUCUACGGGACCACAACUGACACUCAGGGACGAAAGCUAGGGGAGCGAAUGGG
rnacentral:rRNA from 1 species